rnacentral:tRNA from 5 species
GCAUCCAUGGCUGAAUGGUUAAAGCGCCCAACCUAAUAAAGAGGAAAGUAGGUUCGAUUCCUGCUGGAUGCA